rnacentral:rRNA from 1 species
CAAUAGCGUAUAUUAAAGUUGUUGCAGUUAAAAAGCUCGUAGUUGGAUUUCUGCCAGGGUGCCAAUGUCCGCCGAAGUGCGUGCGCAGCGGCGCCCUCGCAUCCUUCUGUUAACGCCUCUCGGCAUUUACUUGCCGGUGGUGGGCUCAGAUAAUUUACCUUGAGAAAAUUAGAGUGUUUCAGGCAGGCUAGGCCGGAAUACAUUAGCAUGGAAUAAUGGAAUAGGACUACGGUCUCGUUGUUGGUUUGAGGGACUGGAGUAAUGAUUAAUAGGGAUAGUUGGGGGCAUUAGUAUUUAAUUGUCAGAGGUGAAAUUCUCAGAUUUGUUAAAGACUAACUUAUGCGAAAGCAUUUGCCAAGGAUGUUUUCAUUAAUCAAGAACGAAAGUUAGGGGAUCAAAGACGAUCAGAUACCAU